ensembl:miRNA sha-mir-24-1 sha-mir-24-1
GAGCUUCCAGGUAGCAGGUAGCAGGGCUGCUGUUCUGAGCUGUGGAUUGGACCCGCCCUCCGGUGCCUACUGAGCUGAUAACAGUUCUGAUUUUACACACUGGCUCAGUUCAGCAGGAACAGGAGUCGAGCCCGAGAGCAAAAAAGACUA